AGCGAACGCUGGCGGCAGGCUUAACACAUGCAAGUCGAACGGGCACUUCGGUGUCAGUGGCAGACGGGUGAGUAACACGUGGGAACGUACCUUUUGGUUCGGCACAACUGAGGGAAACUUCAGCUAAUACCGGAUAAGCCCUUACGGGGAAAGAUUUAUCGCCGAAAGAUCGACCCGCGUCUGAUUAGCUAGUUGGUAGGGUAAUGGCCUACCAAGGCGACGAUCAGUAGCUGGUCUGAGAGGAUGAUCAGCCACAUUGGGACUGAGACACGGCCCAAACUCCUACGGGAGGCAGCAGUGGAGAAUAUUGGACAAUGGGGGCAACCCUGAUCCAGCCAUGCCGCGUGAGUGAUGAAGGCCCUAGGGUUGUAAAGCUCUUUUGUGCGGGAAGAUAAUGACGGUACCGCAAGAAUAAGCCCCGGCUAACUUCGUGCCAGCCGCCGCGGUAA
rnacentral:rRNA from 1 species